rnacentral:lncRNA from 1 species
GGAAACAAUUAUUUUAUAUAUUUUAGAAUAAGGUUGUAAUGUAAAAAAGUGCGAAAAAGGGGAAGGGAUCUGAAUACUUUCCGAAUGCACUCUUGAAUUUGAACUUCAUACUCGUCGCCAAACCCACUGGCUCCAGGUCAUCUACAAGUCUUUGCUAGGCGAAAAUUGAAAAAAAGGGGCAGAUCCAUUAAGAGGUUCAUGAGUCCAACGUGAAGGAUAUACUGCUUCCCGGAGACCAGGCCCAAAUCCCUGUCAUUCGCUUGAAGAAAAGACGGAAAUACAGGGGGUGGAGGUCUGGGUGCCUUGUGAGAAUUCGUCGGCAAGACAGAGCAGCUACAUCCUGUACGACGAGGGGUGGGUCAUCAUCGGUGGCUGGGUGUGACAUGGUCCCGGUGACGGUAGUGGCAGCAGCAGCGGUUCGGCAUUGCUGUUCUCCCUAAAGCAAAGGACAAGACUGAAGCUGAACGAUCCUUUUUCAGCUGUGUGGUAAGUCAUUAAAUCAAUCAGGGCCAGGUUUGGCAGACCAGGGCCAACUCAGUCUCCAUGGAGACCAGCCAAGUGGAGGAGUCUGCAAUAACUCAGAAAAGGAGGGACAGGCAGAGCAAAACAUAGAAAACCACGAAAAAGAAAAGUAUUAAAUCCACAAAAAAAGAGCUGAUUUCACCACUACUACCACCUCCACUACUACCACCACUACUACCACCACUACUACCACCUCCACUACUACCACCUCCACUAUUACCACCACCACCACCACCACUACUACCACCUCCACUACUACCGCCACCACCACUACUACCACCUCAUCUACUACCACCUCCACCACUACUACCUCCACUACUACAACCUCCACUACUACCACCUCCACUACUACCACCUCCACUAUUACCACCACCACCACCACCACAACUACCACCUCCACUACUACCACCACCACCACUACUACCACCUCCACUACUACCACCUCCACUACUACCACCUCCACUAUCACCACCACAACCACCUCCACUACUACCAGUAUUAACCUGUUGGGGAUAGGGGGCAGUAUUUGCACGGCCGGAUAAAAAACGUACCCGAUUUAAUCUGGUUACUACUCCUGCCCAGUAACUAGAAUAUGCAUAUAAUUAUUGGCUUUGGAUAGAAAACACCCUAAAGUUUCUAAAACUGUUUGAAUGGUGUCUGUGAGUAUAACAGAACUCAUAUGGCAGGCAAAAACCUGAGAAGAUUCCUUACAGGAAGUGGCCUGUCUGACCAUUCCUUGAGCUUCUUGACUCUGUUUAUUGAAGACUGAGGAUCUUUGCUGUAACGUGACACUUCCUACGGCUCCCAUAGGCUCUCAGAAGGCGGGAAAAUGCUGAAUGAUGUAAUUCCAGCCCCAGGCUGAAACACAUUAGCGCUUUUGGCAAGUGCUCUAUCAGAGGACAAUGGGCUUAGGCGCGUGCAUGAGUCGACCACAUGUUUUUAUUUUCGUUCGUCUCUGAACCUAAACACAGAUUCCCGGUCGGAAUAUUAUCGCUUUUUUACGAGAAAAAUGGCAUAAAAAUUGAUUUUAAACAUCGGUUGACAUGCUUCGAAGUACGGUAAUGGAAUAUUUCGAAUUUUUUUGUCACGAAAUGCGUCGUGCGCGUAACCCUUAUUUACCCUUUCGGAUAGUGUAUUGAACGCACGAACAAAACGCCACUAUUUGGAUAGUGUCCUGGGAGUGCAUUCUGACGAAGAACACCAAAGGUAAUAACAUUUUUCUUAUAGUAAAUCUGACUUUGGUGAGUGCUAAACUUGCUGGGUGUCUAAAUAGCUAGCCCUGUGAUGCCGGGCUAUCUACUCAGAAUAUUGCAAAAUGUGCUUUCACCGAAAAGCUAUUUUAAAAUCGGACAUAUCGAG